rnacentral:rRNA from 1 species
ACGAAGGGUGCAAGCGUCACUCGGAAUUACUGGGCGUAAGGCGUGCGUAGGUGGUUUGUUAAGUCUGAUGUGAAAGCCCUGGGCUCAACCUGGGAAUGGCACUGGAUACUGGCGAGCUAGAGUGUGGCAGAGGGUGGUGGAAUUCCUCGUGUAGCAGUGAAAUGCGUAGAGAUGUGGAGGAACACCGGUGGCGAAGGC